rfam:Stereum hirsutum FP-91666 SS1 unplaced genomic scaffold STEHIscaffold_24, whole genome shotgun sequence.
AGCUCGGUAGCGCAAUGGUAGUGCAUCUGUCUUCUGUAUGGUGACCAGCGUAAAGGUUAACGGAAAGUUCUCGGUUCAACUCCGAGUCGAGCUG